CGUAGGGCGAAGCGUUGUCCGGAAUUAUUGGGCGUAAAGCGCGCGCAGGCGGCUUUUAAGUUCCGGUGUCACAGCCCAAGGCUCAACCUUGGGUCGCACUGGAAACUGGAGAGCUUGAGUACAGAAGAGGAAAGUGGAAUUCCACGUGUAGCGGUGAAAUGCGUAGAGAUGUGGAGGAACACCAGUGGCGAAGGCGACUUUUCUGGGGCUGUAACUGACGCUGAGGCGCGAAAAGCGUGGGAGCAAACAGGAUU
rnacentral:rRNA from 1 species